rnacentral:rRNA from 1 species
UACGUAGGGUGCGAGCGUUGUCCGGAAUUAUUGGGCGUAAAGAGCUUGUAGGCGGUUUGUCGCGUCUGCCGUGAAAAUUCGAGGCUCAACCUCGAACUUGCGGUGGGUACGGGCAGACUAGAGUGUGGUAGGGGAGACUGGAAUUCCUGGUGUAGCGGUGAAAUGCGCAGAUAUCGGGAGGAACACCGGUGGCGAAGGCGGCGACCUGGGUAGAUACUGACGCUGAGGUGCGAAAGCGUGGGGAGCAAACAGG